GCUGGGUGUGGUGGUGCACACCUGUAAUCCCAGCUACUCAGGAGGCUGAGGCAGGAGAAUCGCUUGAACCCAGGAGGCGGAGGUUGCAGUGAGCCAAGAUUGUGCCACUGCACUCUAGCCUGGGUGACAGAGUGAGACUCUGUCUCAG
rnacentral:SRP_RNA from 1 species